GACGAACGCUGGCGGCGUGCCUAAUACAUGCAAGUCGAGCGAGUCUGCCUUGAAGAUCGGAGUGCUUGCACUCUGUGAAACAAGAUACAGGCUAGCGGCGGACGGGUGAGUAACACGUGGGUAACCUGCCCAAGAGAUCGGGAUAACACCUGGAAACAGAUGCUAAUACCGGAUAACAACAGAUGAUGCCUAUCAACUGUUUAAAAGAUGGUUCUGCUAUCACUCUUGGAUGGACCUGCGGUGCAUUAGCUAGUUGGUAGGGUAACGGCCUACCAAGGCGAUGAUGCAUAGCCGAGUUAAGAGACUGAUCGGACACAUUGGGACUGAGACACGGCCCAAACUCCUACGGGAGGCAGCAGUAGGGAAUCUUCCACAAUGGACGCAAGUCUGAUGGAGCAACGCAGCGUGAGUGAAGAAGGGUUUCGGCUCGUAAAGCUCUGUUGUUGGUGAAGAAGGACAGGGGUAGUAACUGACCUUUGUUUGACGGUAAUCAAUUAGAAAGUCACGGCUAACUACGUG
rnacentral:rRNA from 1 species